rnacentral:lncRNA from 1 species
UGGAAGCAAGGCUUGGAGGAGAAUCUUUUAAAAUCAAUCAAUCAAUCAAUCAAUCAAUCAAUCAAUCAAUCAAAAUAAAAUAAAUAUCACAAUAUCAGAAUUACAAUAUAGAAAAAAAUUAAAAUGUGGAAGCAGAACCUUGAAGAGAGGAUACAGGAACUCAUGGAAUAGGAUAAAAGACAAAAGAAGAGAUAGCCACGAUAGAACAAACCACAUGGCCAAAAACCCCCACAAAUAACAAGAAGUCUUAUAACUAGGGAAUAAGUUAGUAUAGUGUUAGAUCUGCUCAAUCUAGUCUUAAAACAUAUAAGUUGCAUAGUUUUUAUAUGGGCUUAUUGGGGUUGGAAGUUCCAGCAACAACAGGUUGGGAAGAUGGCUCAGCCAUGAAAUGCUUUGGCUGCUCUCUCAGAGGACCCAGAUUCCAGUCCCAACACCCACAUGAUGGCUCACAACUGUCUAUGACUCCAGUUUCAGGGGAAUUAAUGUCCUCUUGGGUACUGUGGGCACUGCACACACAUAGUGCACAGACAUACAUGCAGGCAAAAACACCCAUAAAUAUAGUUUAAAACAAAUGUUGAGAAGAAAUGCCAGUAACAGUAGUUACUGACACUGGCUGGGAAGGCCUACUCUUAGCCCAGCUCAAGGCAGCACAGUUUGGCAGAAUCAGGUCUAAUGCAAUGUGGGUUUCCUUUAACCUGCCCUGGAGGCCUCGGACCACAUGAAACCAGGGGACAUGUGAGAGUCAUGAUAUAGACAUGGGAGACUUCAGAGGCUGUAGGGGCCAGGAUAUAAAGGAAGUGAGCACUGGGCUGGGGAGACAGUUUGGUUGAUUGGUUGGUUGGUAAAGAGCUGGCAACACAAGAGUAAGGACUCAAGUUUUAUCCUUAGAACCUGUGCAAAAAAGCCAAGUAUAGUGACACACUCUUAUGAUCCCAGCUCUGGGGACAUGGAGUCAGAAAGAUCACAAGCUCACUGCCACAGUUGGCAGGAGCUGGAACCCCCUCUGCUUUUCACACCAGCCUUCCACUGGCCUCACUAGUGACUGGACUUAUACCUGGCAAAUAUCAGGGAACAGUGAGCAAGGACCUGUCCCUGUCACUUCAAUGCUUGAACAUGUAGGUGUAGGAAGUCACUGUGGAUUCUUCAAGCCUUGAAGAUAGCCAGAGUCCCCUGAUCUGUUCUCUGUGACAAGGGACAAGAGCCUUCAUGACUGAACUCUGAAUACCAUAGCAAACACUACUUAUCUCUGGGUCUUUCAUGUUGCUUUGAGCUGUGUCCAAUAGCAGGUGAUUCUGGAUGUGGUGGUCCAAGAGGUCGGUGAGAAAUCUAGGAAACAGGAAGGUGGGGAUGGAGGAAGCCAUAAAAAGAGGGUUGACUUUUGGCCUUCUCCACCCAAUUUGGGGAUGUCUGGUGGCUGUGUACCCUUGAGUUAGUCCAGGGGACCAAGAGCCCAUCUAUUGUAUGGUCAAGGUUUGGUAAAAAUUUGCCCAGGGGACAGUUCCUGUGGUCCCAAUACCGAGGCUGGCGAGACCCUAGUGGACCAGGAAGAGCACAGACCAUGCUCAUCAUCAGUUGUGGGUGACUCAGAGAGUCCCUUUUACCACAGUGGAGAGCACCCUGGUGUCCUCCAGGCAGAGAAGCUGUGUCUUUACUGUCUCCAUCUGUGUCUUGCUUCUUCCUAUGCUUUCUCCAUCCUCCCUGACUUCAUCCUCCAGCAUCCCACUGACCUCCUCUGCUAGGAGCAGCUAGGAGGGCCAACACUUGCUUCCCUGAAGGACACACGGCAGACUUUAUGCUUGCUGACUCCCAGAGGCAUAUGAGCAGGAAGGGUCAGGCCUCCUUGACCCCAGAGUCUCCUGUGUCUUGAUGCCAUGUGACCUGGGACAAUAUUGACUUUCCCUAUCUGAUGGUGUGCUUGAUAAACACAGAGCUUUGUUCAAGGCCACCUUGGCUCCACCAGUAAUAGGCCCGAGCUGGUGGCCAUGCUCAAGUCAGACAGCUUCGGCUUCCAAGAAAGCCUCACCCGGAGAUGUGGCCUCUCAGGUGAGUGAAAUGCUGGCUAAGGUAAGCCCUUGGCUUCUUCCCUUCCCAAGAGCAUGGUGGCAUCCAUUGGGGGACUCUCACCCCAGAUUCACUUGGGUUCCUUUGGUAAGUGAGCAAAGCCUUCUGUCUGAGACAUUCCAGAAACCCCUGAGGAGGAAAUGUUUGGUGUAAUUUCUGGUUAGGCCUGGCUCCUAAUUUCUAGAUCCUCACUUACAUUUGGAGCGUUAGAAAAGCAAACCCAGGAAUGUUUCAAGAAUGUUGUCCUGAGUGCUGGACUGGGUGGCCUGGCACUGCAGAGUGGGAGACAACCUCGGUCAGUCCCAGGGAUGUACCAACUGCAGCGUGAGAGGCGGAGGGUGGACACAGGGAACUUACAUACCUCUGGCACACUUGGCGUUAGUGUUGUGGAAUCCUCAAAUUGGCACCAUUCUCAAAAUCUCCACUUCCCAUUCUAUGAUGUGCUGCCUGCCAGUCCUUUGUGUUUGUCGUUAUUUGAAAUCUUCUAGAAAGGCUAUACAGGGUGAAUACUCUUAAUGCCAUGAAGGAAAGAGUUCAGAAAUAGAGAGAGGCGACCAGUGAUAGGCUACAAUUCUCCACGUGGAAGGCCCCCUUGCAUGUCUCAUGGCUUGUUGGACUGCUUCCGGGUGAGACAACUUGGGCUGAAAGUCCAGGAAGGACCCUGUGGCCAAGUAUUCUUACUUCUCCCAGUGCCCCUGGCUGCAGGUGAGGUCCUGCUUAGUGGGACACAGGGUUGGCAUUAGAAGUAGGGGAGAGCAAGCCAGUUUUUUCUUCAUCUAAGGAGACCUCAGCUGUGAGGGGCCAGACUGGGGACAGGGUCCGGGCCAGAGUAGCUCACACAGGGGGACAGAGUCCUCACAUGCGUGUGGUCACACGUGUAUGUAUGAGCACAUGUAACUGGCAGACAGAUGCUGUUUUUCUGGAAAAUUCUGGAGGUGUGUCCUCAGAGCGGCUGCUCUAAGGGUGCUGGGCCUAUUUAAGUAUUCUCUCUUUGUCUUUCAGAGCAGGGGGCUCUGACCUCAUUUCCCAGAGAGGAACCUGAGGUCUAAGGAAGUGAGCAUCUUCCUCACCGACACUCAUCUCCCUGCCGCCCUCCCUGCUGGGCCGGGCCUCCCUGCAAGCCUCGUGGCCCCUGCUCGGUGCGGGCCUGCUGCUGCUGCUGUACAGCCCGCCCAGCCUCGGACCGUGCUGGCCUCCAGAAGUGAUAGCUAAUUGGGGAGAGAAAGGGCUCGAUUGUCUGCGGCAGCCGGAAAGGCCUGGAGGAGGCGGCCGCUUCGCCCUGCAGCUGCCGCCGGGAGAUGUUUGGGGAUUACGUCAGCCUGGCAGGCAGGGGCCGCGGGGACAGCACGGGAGGCGGGCUCCCGCAGGCCUCCCGCGGCCAGGGCCUCUGGACAAUGCUGCCAUUGUCGGUGCACGGAGUGCUUAGCUCCCCAUGAAUGGUACACGGGCCUCUUGACCAAGGAGGCCGCCUAUAGCCCCAACUGUCCUCCUCACAGGCGGGGAGGCCCAGUGCGGUGGGAAGGACUGGCUGUGGACUGCACGGAUCUGUCCUUCAGAAGGGGCCACCGGCAGGCAGGCAGGCAGGGCUGAGAUCAGGCUCCAGCGAGGCUGCUGCUACUGCUAUACCCUGCAUGGUGGCCUCCCUCCUCAGUAUGGCCUCCUGGCUGGGGGACACUGCUGGCUCUGACCCACUCAUGGUGCUCCUGGUUGUCAUUCUCCUGGUACGCUUCAUACUGUGGUCCUGUCUGGGGACCUAUAUGGACUAUAGGCUGGCCCGGCCUCAUCCUGGCAAACCCAAGGAAGAGUAAGCCAAGGGGCACAAUAAAGACCCAAUCUAGAAGGUUGUGUGCUGUGGCUCUAUCAUCCUUCUGUGGGUUGGCAGGAGGUAGUGGGACACCCACCUGUCAUCAGUCAAGUGCCACAGACACCCUCCUGCAGCACACUGUUACUCUCCCUUGCCACAAC